AUUGAACGCUGGCGGCAUGCCUUACACAUGCAAGUCGAACGGCAGCACGGGAGCAAUCCUGGUGGCGAGUGGCGAACGGGUGAGUAAUAUAUCGGAACGUGCCCCGUCGUGGGGGAUAACGCAGCGAAAGCUGUGCUAAUACCGCAUACGCCCUACGGGGGAAAGCAGGGGACCUUCGGGCCUUGCGCGAUUGGACAUGCCCGGGUGGGAUAAGCUAGUUGGUGAGGUAAUGGCUCACCAAGGCGACGAUCCACAGCUGGUCUGAGAGGAUGAGCAGCCACACUGGAACAGAGACUCAUCCCAGACUCCUACGUGUGGCAUCAGUGGGGAAGUAUGGACAAGGGGAGCACGCCUGUACCAGCCAUGCCACGUGCAGGAUGGGAGCUGUGCGGUUGUCAACUGCUUUUGUACGGAACGAAAAGACUCUGGUUAAUAGCUGGUGGCCAUGACGGUACCGUAAGAAUCAGCACCGGCUAACUACAUGCAAGCUGCCGCUCUAACAC
rnacentral:rRNA from 1 species